UACGAAGGAUGCAAGCGUUAUCCGGAUUUAUUGGGUUUAAAGGGAGCGUAGGCGGUCUUAUAAGUCAGUGGUGAAAUCUCGUUGCUUAACAACGACCGUGCCAUUGAUACUGUAGGACUUGAGUACAGUUGCCGUUGGCGGAAUGUGUCAUGUAGCGGUGAAAUGCGUAGAUAUGACACAGAACACCGAUUGCGAAGGCAGCUGACGAAACUGUAACUGACGCUGAGGCUCGAAAGCGUGGGGAUCAAACAGG
rnacentral:rRNA from 1 species